rnacentral:rRNA from 1 species
UUCUAUGGCCAUGCCACCUUGAACGUUCCCGAUCUCGUCUGAUCUCGAAAGCUAAGCAGGGUCUGGCCUGGUUAGUACUUGGAUGGGAGACCACCUAGGAAUAUCAGCUGCUAUAGGUG